GACCUAGUAGUUAAAGUUAUAACGUUAAAUUGCAAAUUUAAAGUUACCAAAUUGAGUCUAAGUUUGGGUCA
rnacentral:tRNA from 1 species